rnacentral:rRNA from 1 species
CCUACGGGAGGCAGCAGUAGGGAAUAUUGCUCAAUGGGGGAAACCCUGAAGCAGCAACGCCGCGUGGAGGAUGAAGGUCUUCGGAUUGUUAACCCUUUUUGUUAGAGAAGAAAAGGAGGGUAUGUAAGGAAUAAGCACGGGCUAACGCCGUGCCAGCAGCCGCGGAAAUACGGAGGGCGCAAGCGUUAAUCGGAAGAACGGGGCGUAAAGAGCGCGUAGGGGGGUUAGCAAGUCAGAUGUGAAAGCGUUUGGCUUAACCCUAGAACUGCAUUUGAAACUGUUAUACUAGAGUAUGGGAGAGGUAGGUGGAAUUCUUGGUGUAGCGGUGAAAUCCGUAGAGAUCAAGAGGAAUACUCAUUGCGAAGGCAGCCUGCUAGAACAUAACUGACGCUGAUGCGCGAAAGCGUGGGGAGCAAACAGGAUUAGAUACCCGUGUAGUC